ensembl:lncRNA
CCCAAAGCGUACUCUAAGAACCGGGUCUGGGUACCCUUGCCCCUGGAGGGGGAAACUGCACCCAGACCCAGGUGGUGUUACCCUUUUCCCUGCGGUGGGGAGAAGCAGACCGCCCCGACUCCGUAAUAGACGCCCAGGCUGAGAUCUUCCUCCACCUCUCCUGUAUCUCCCCCUCCUGCAGAGAGAGUUCCUGAAGAGAGGAAGGCUCCUGCAAGAUGUGACAACCUCCCCACCAGUUGAAGAGCCCCCAGGUGGCUCGAUGCACCAGCGGCACCCUGCGCCAGGACCGGGCCCCCAUACACCCACCCGCCCACAACCCCGGCAACACACCAACCAGGACCCAGGCCCCUGAGGCCCGGCCAGGGCCCCAGCCCAGAGACGGAACGCCCCCAGAACCUCACGCCCAUCCCAGACCCACCCAGGGGCAGCCAGGCUACCAGGACAUGACUGAGGCCACUGCACUGAGUGCCAUAGAGAAAACAACAGUGGGCAUCUAUGUCUCCAGAGACACACCAGGCAAUUACUCUUUUGAUGUUGGCAUCAUCAUCGAGGGUGUGGUGGUUCUUAAGGACCUGGAUAAUGUGGCCACUGCAGUAGCCAUGCUUUUCGGACUGCUUUACUCUGUCAACAUGAGUUACCCAUCACAGCUCCGCUACACCUUUGAAGUGAUUCAGAAGGUGGUAAUGGGAUUGGAUGCAACUGAACUCUCAAGAAAAGCACAAAACUUUAAGACAAAACUACUCAUGUAAGCAAUGUUCACUGUUGCUGUGCACUCAAGGUGUUUAGCUCUCUCACUGGUUCUCCUGCAUUUUGGACGUUCAAUUUCCAAGACAAAUCAUUGUUGUGUACUGUGUAACUGCCUGUUUUGUUUUUUUCUUUUCCUUUUUGCUCUCUGUACAAGUUUUCUAAUUGGCAGCAUUUUUACAUUUUGGUUUAUUUGUUUUCGAAAGUGAAGAAAUGUAGUUGUUCAGCCUAAGUAGUCCCA